UCGGGGGACGAUAACGGCGUCGAGCGGCGGACGGGUGAGUAAUGCCUAGGAAAUUGCCCUGAUGUGGGGGAUAACCAUUGGAAACGAUGGCUAAUACCGCAUGAUGCCUACGGGCCAAAGAGGGGGACCUUCGGGCCUCUCGCGUCAGGAUAUGCCUAGGUGGGAUUAGCUAGUUGGUGAGGUAAGGGCUCACCAAGGCGACGAUCCCUAGCUGGUCUGAGAGGAUGAUCAGCCACACUGGAACUGAGACACGGUCCAGACUCCUACGGGAGGCAGCAGUGGGGAAUAUUGCACAAUGGGCGCAAGCCUGAUGCAGCCAUGCCGCGUGUAUGAAGAAGGCCUUCGGGUUGUAAAGUACUUUCAGUCGUGAGGAAGGUGGUAGUGUUAAUAGCGCUAUCAUUUGACGUUAGCGACAGAAGAAGCACCGGCUAACUCCGUGCCAGCAGCCGCGGUAAUACGGAGGGUGCGAGCGUUAAUCGGAAUUACUGGGCGUAAAGCGCAUGCAGGUGGUUUGUUAAGUCAGAUGUGAAAGCCCGGGGCUCAACCUCGGAAUAGCAUUUGAAACUGGCAGACUAGAGUACUGUAGAGGGGGGUAGAAUUUCAGGUGUAGCGGUGAAAUGCGUAGAGAUCUGAAGGAAUACCGGUGGCG
rnacentral:rRNA from 1 species